CCUACGGGAGGCGGCAGUGGGGAAUAUUGGACAAUGGGGGCAACCCUGAUCCAGCCAUGCCGCGUGUGUGAAGAAGGCCCUCGGGUUGUAAAGCACUUUCAGUGAGGAAGAACGCCUGGUGGUUAAUACCCAUCAGGAAAGACAUCACUCACAGAAGAAGCACCGGCUAACUCCGUGCCAGCAGCCGCGGUAAUACGGAGGGUGCGAGCGUUAAUCGGAAUUACUGGGCGUAAAGCGCGCGUAGGUGGCUUGAUAAGCCGGUUGUGAAAGCCCCGGGCUCAACCUGGGAACGGCAUCCGGAACUGUCAAGCUAGAGUGCAGGAGAGGAAGGUAGAAUUCGCGGUGUAGCGGUGAAAUGCGUAGAGAUCGGGAGGAAUACCAGUUGCGAAGGCGGCCUUCUGGACUGACACUGACACUGAGGUGCGAAAGCGUGGGUAGCAAACAGGAUUAGAUACCCCAGUAGUC
rnacentral:rRNA from 1 species